GGACCUGUUGGAGGCAAACCAAGAAUAGUUCUAUCAGAACUUGAUCCUACACGGCAUGAAGCAUCAUCGUCUUUAUCAUUAUCAUAAGACUCGUCAUCACUUGCGGUUUUCCACUUGUUUUUGUUUGUCCUAUUUGUAUGUUCCCUCAAUUUAAUCCCAUACGAGGAAUGUAUAGAAAAAGUUCCCCUCGUCUUACUGAAGGUCCAUGCAUAUAGUGUCUGUUAUCAAAUGUUGCAUGAAAUACUUGUUCUGAUCAUACAAUGGAGAUCAAUAGUUUAAUCUUAUGUGUUUUUAUCAAAAUAAUUUGCUACCUGAUCCUAUGCUCAUAACCAGAAAUAGAAAUUUUUAGCAAUACAAAAAAUGUGACACAUGGUGGGGAAGUAAAAGGUGAAAAAGAAAAUGUGAAGCCAAAGGAACUCACUUUUAGUUUUCUUUGGUGGUUUUGUUUGACCUUUAUUGGAAUAGCUAUUUGAAGAACCAUCAGAGUUUCCAUCAAGUUUCAAUUUC
rnacentral:lncRNA from 1 species